AAUAACUGUUGUUUUGAAUCUAUGCCUUAGAAGGAUUUCUCUGCGGAUUUAGUUUAACAUCUGAUAUUCAAAGUGGACGGUCGUUGCCGAAACAAAUUUGUGAAUAAAAAACAAUAUUUAUUAUGUGUUAUGCAUUUUAAACCACGUAAACAAUUUUGAAGAGUAUAAGACAUUCAACAGUUGAAAUUAUUGUUGGUUCACGUUGCCUCUUUCUCAUAUACUUAGAUAAGUAUAAAAACAUAAUAUGUUAAACAUUUCUUUCUUUUAUAUAUUAAAUAUAUUUUAAAUUUUUUUGUUAUAGGUACAUAAUUUAGAUACUUUUGUGAAAUGAGUCUUCAAUCUUCAAUUUGAGACCAUGUUAUUUUCGCAAAAAAGCGAAUUAUAAUAAAACCGGCAAAAGGGCACUAAAUACUGCUCCGUAAAAACCAUCUUAAAGGCUGUUUGCAACAGAUCCAGUACAUUCCGAAGUUGUCAUUGCAGAAUAAAGCAAACACAUCAUGUUUGGAAAACAUAGAAUUUACUGCAGAGCCUAAUGCUGCCGAUUACAAUAAGAUGAUGCAUCAAUUAAAAAAGAAAAAUUAAAUUUAAAAAUUAAUGUACAGUGACAGUGACCAAUAAAACAUUUUUAUUACGUUUAAAC